GACGAACGCUGGCGGCGUGCCUAAUACAUGCAAGUCGAGCGGAGUUACUUUGAAAGCUUGCUUUCAAAGUAACUUAGCGGCGGACGGGUGAGUAACACGUAGGCAACCUGCCCCUUAGACUGGGAUAACUACCGGAAACGGUAGCUAAUACCGGAUAAUUUCUUUUUUCUCCUGAAGAAAGAAUGAAAGACGGAGCAAUCUGUCACUGAGGGAUGGGCCUGCGGCGCAUUAGCUAGUUGGUGGGGUAACGGCCCACCAAGGCGACGAUGCGUAGCCGACCUGAGAGGGUGAACGGCCACACUGGGACUGAGACACGGCCCAGACUCCUACGGGAGGCAGCAGUAGGGAAUCUUCCGCAAUGGACGAAAGUCUGACGGAGCAACGCCGCGUGAGUGAUGAAGGUUUUCGGAUCGUAAAGCUCUGUUGCCAGGGAAGAACGUCCGGUAGAGUAACUGCUAUCGGAGUGACGGUACCUGAGAAGAAAGCCCCGGCUAACUACGUGCCAGCAGCCGCGGUAAUACGUAGGGGGCAAGCGUUGUCCGGAAUUAUUGGGCGUAAAGCGCGCGCAGGCGGUCAUUUAAGUC
rnacentral:rRNA from 1 species